rnacentral:tRNA from 1 species
GGAGGCAUAGCUCAGCUGGUUAGAGCGCAGCGUUCACAUCGCUGAGGUCUUGGGUUCGAGCCCCAAUGUCUCUACCA